AAAUUGAAGAGUUUGAUCAUGGCUCAGAUUGAACGCUGGCGGCAGGCCUAACACAUGCAAGUCGAACGGUAACAGGAAGCAGCUUGCUGCUUCGCUGACGAGUGGCGGACGGGUGAGUAAUGUCUGGGAAACUGCCUGAUGGAGGGGGAUAACUACUGGAAACGGUGGCUAAUACCGCAUAACGUCGCAAGACCAAAGAGGGGGACCUUCGGGCCUCUUGCCAUCAGAUGUGCCCAGAUGGGAUUAGCUAGUUGGUGAGGUAACGGCUCA
rnacentral:rRNA from 4 species